GCUAAAAUCCUCGCGUCAGGUUGCUGGUGACCACACCAGCGCUGGAAUCCGGUGAAAAGCCGGAGCUGACGCGCAGCGGUAUGACUGAUCCGCCCCGACUUGAACCACUGGCGCCAUGCGCACUGGGAAGCGCCGGGAACGGAGACGAAGUCGAGCCCGAAGACCACCUGACGACGCCCUGUUGCU
rnacentral:ncRNA from 22 species